UACGGGGGGGGUAAGGCGUUGUUCGGAAUUACGUGGGCGUAAAGGGCUCGUAGGCGGCCAACUAAGUCAGACGUGAAAUCCCUCAGCUUAACUGGGGAACUGACGUCUGAUACUGGAUGGCUUGGAUUCGGGAGAGGAAUGCGGGAAUUCCAGGUGUAGCGGUGAAAUGGCGAUGAGAUAUCUGGAGGAACACCGGUGGCGAAGGCGGCAUUCUGGACCGAUAUUGACGCUGAGGAGCGAAAGCCAGGGGAGCAAAGCGGGG
rnacentral:rRNA from 1 species